rnacentral:tRNA from 2 species
GGCCCCGUGGCGGAACGGCAGACGCAGCGGACUUAAAAUUCGCGAUCCCUCAUCGGGAUGUGUGGGUUCAAAUCCCACCGGGGCCA